UUGAAUGNUGGCGGCAGGCCUAACACAUGCAAGUNGAGCGGUAGCACAGGAGAGCUUGCUCUCCGGGUGACGAGCGGNGGACGGGUGAGUAAUGUCUGGGAAACUGCCUGAUGGAGGGGGAUAACUACUGGAAACGGUAGCUAAUACCGCAUAANGUCUUNGGACCAAAGUGGGGGACCUUCGGGCCUCACGCCAUCAGAUGUGCCCAGAUGGGAUUAGCUAGUAGGUGGGGUAAUGGCUCACCUAGGCGACGAUCCCUAGCUG
rnacentral:rRNA from 1 species